UAGUGAGUUAGAGAUGCAGAGC
rnacentral:miRNA from 1 species